rnacentral:snRNA from 1 species
UACUUUUAUCCUGACGCUGAGAGCCUGGUGGUCGGUAUGACCUCCGCGAAUACCCAUUUCGAGGAUAUUAAAAUCAAAGGCACCAAGAGAGCGAACAAGGCUAAGCGUAUCGAAGAAGAGAGGAAGAACCCGACGAAAA